CCUACGGGGGGCAGCAGUGGGGAAUAUUGGGCAAUGGGCGCAAGCCUGACCCAGCAACGCCGCGUGAAGGAAGAAGGCUUUCGGGAUGUAAACUUCUUUUCUGAGGGACGAAGAAAGUGACGGUACCUCCGGAAUAAGCCACGGCUAACUACGUGCCAGCCGCCGUGGUUAUACGUAGGUGGCAAGCGUUAUCCGGAUUUAUUGGGUGUAAAGGGUGUGUAGGUGGGAGAGCAAGUCAGAUGUGAAAACUCAGGGCUCAACCCUGACCCUGCAUUUGAAACUGGUUUUCUUGAGUGCUGGAGAGGCAAUCGGAAUUCCGUGUGUAGCGGUGAAAUGCGUAGAUAUACGGAGGAACACCAGUGGCGAAGGCGGAUUGCUGGACAGUAACUGACGCUGAGGCGCGAAAGCGUGGGGAGCAAACAGGAUUAGAUACCCGAGUAGUC
rnacentral:rRNA from 1 species